rnacentral:rRNA from 1 species
CAGUCGCAUCUGUUGGGAUUCAGCUUGGCUUCCGCCUGGUGUAUUUCCUUUCCGAUGGGUCAGCAUCAGUUUCGACCAAGGGAAAAAGACAUUUGGAAUGUGGCUGUCUUCGGGCAGUGUUAUAGCCUCUGGUAGAUGUGACGAUUGGGAUUGAGGAUUGCAACGGAUACCCUUCGGGGCUACUCGUCUGAUCUCUGAAGGUUGCUCCGGUGCCGAAAGCGUGCUUACGGUCAUCGAAAGUGAUUUUCAAAAGGUUAGAACGGGUUAAAUUCGUUAAGGAUGUUGACGUAAUGGCUUUAAACGACCCGUCUUGAAACACGGACCAGGGAGUCUAACAUAUAUGCGAGUGUU